GUGUGUGUUCGUCUCAACGUAGCACGAAAUGUGUCUCCUCUCUGCACAGACACACACACACACCCCAACGUGAGACGUGCUAGAUAACGGUUUUUGGUAUCGAAAGUUUUAUAUUUGUUGCCUUAAGACUGUGUGGAUGCUAAAGUCUGUAUACUAAAACAUUCCGCUAGUUAAACGUAUAUAUUUAUUGGACUAGAGCAGCCGACUUCGUUUCUACUAAAGAGUGUCCGCUUCCCCUCCCCUCGAUGAAGCGCUGCGAUGCCCUCUGAUUUUAUAUCCCUCCUUAGCUCGGAUCUCGACCUCAAUUCCCCUAAAUCUCUAUAUUCUAAAGAGUCAGUAUAUGACCUCCUCCCCAAAGAGCUCCAACUUCAGCCGUCGUCCACCCAGACAGACCCAGCCACCAUGAGCCAGAAGAGUGGGGGAGAGGCGGGACCUCCCCCCUCAGCAGCCCUGGCCUCAGAUGCCACCUCUUCCACCUCCAGCCCCUCUGCUUCUUCCUCCCUGGCCAUGGGAGCACCAUCCUCUGCCCCUUCAACUGGCCCCUCUACCUCAUCCUCAGACCACCUCAAUGUUCCCCAGCAUCACCACCCCACUGGCGGGGACGGACCUUCAGAGAUGCAAAGUAUGGAGGGCGCUGUAUCUGCCUCCAGCAGAGCCAACAGUGGAGCAAACACAGCAGCGGGAGACAUAGGGUCAGGAGUGUUGUCAGGGUUAGGAGUCCAGCAGCCACAGAACACGCCAUCAAAACGGAGACCUGUCUUAAGCAUAUCGCCACCACCCGAGGACCUAUUUGAUGACAGCCAGAUGUCUUGUCAAGAGGAACCUACAGUAUCUGGUCCACCGGGUCCAGAUUCAGAGCAUAGCAGCAGUAUGUGGGCUGAUGAUUCCGUUUCUAACUUCAGUUUGAUCAGUUCCAUUUCCUACAAUGACAACACAGAGGUGCCACGCAAGUCGAGAAAACGGACCCCUCGCCAGCGGCCUGGACCUAAACCUGCUCCUCCAGAGGACAGCAUGGAUGUGUUUGAUGCUGACAGUGCUAAGGCUCCUCACUUUGUCUUAUCACAGCUGGGCCCAGACAAGUCUAGCUCAAUGGCCAGCUGUCUUGAGUCAGGGACUGCAGUGAAGGGUGGGUCACUGUCUGGUCAGUUCCCCCAGAGGAGUGAUGGGAAGGAGCUUAAGAUCUUGGUGCAGCCAGAAACCCAGCACAGAGCCCGCUAUUUGACUGAGGGCAGUCGAGGCUCCGUCAAAGACCGCACACAGCAAGGAUUUCCCACUGUUAAGUUGGAAGGUGUGAAUGAACCAGUUGUGCUGCAGGUGUUCGUGGCAAAUGAUGCAGGCAGAGUCAAGCCUCAUGGCUUCUACCAAGCAUGCAGAGUGACUGGCCGUAACACCACUGCAUGCAAGGAAGUGGACAUUGAAGGCACCACUGUUAUUGAGAUCCCUCUGGAACCUAGCAAUGACAUGACACUUGCGGUGGACUGUGUAGGAAUUUUAAAGCUGCGUAAUGCAGAUGUGGAAGCCCGUAUUGGUGUGGCAGGGUCUAAAAAGAAGAGUACUCGAGCUAGGCUAGCCUUCAGAGUCAGCAUCACUCAAGCAGAUGGAUCAGUCCUCACAUUACAGGUCCCCUCAUCACCAAUCCUCUGCACUCAACCUGCAGGAGUGCCAGAGAUCCUGAAAAAGAGCCUUCACACCGGUUCAGUAAGAGGAGGAGAAGAGGUUUUCAUCAUUGGGAAGAACUUCCUAAAAGGAACCAAAGUUAUUUUUCAAGAAAAUAUUGCAGAUGAUAAUUCCUGGCAAGCUGAGGCAAAGAUUGACAUGGACCUAUUCCAUCAGAAUCACCUGAUAGUGACAGUCCCGCCGUUCCACAACCAAUCAAUCUCUUCUCCAGUUUCCGUGGGUAUCUUUGUGAUGACCAAUGCUGGUAGAUCACAUGAUGCCCAGCCCUUCACCUACACUCCAGACUCAGCUGAUAACCCACUAAUCCGGACAGUGAAAACAGAAGCUCCCACUCUGGUCAAGACAUGUAUAUUCAAUGAACAGCUCAAAUCCCUGUCUUCUGACCGAACUGACUGCACUGCUCAACCAUCUAAACGGCAAGAAGAUACACCAAUGGAAGUGUCGAGCAAUCCCCCACCCGCUGAUGUCUUUAAACCUGACCCUCUCGUCUCAGUACAGCAGACCCUGGAACUCAGUUCUAGUCCUCAUCCAGGUGGAGAGUCCUUUCAGAGCCCACUGCCCUUACAGCCUGAGGAUGUGGAGCUUCCUCAGGCCCCCCCUGUGUUCCCUAGCCUCGAAUCUCUCAGCGCCAUACAAAAACAAGACAUUGCCCCGGCACCACCUUUCCCAGUAUCAGGAGACACCACAAUCCCCCCUGUGACCCCAGAAGUCCCUCAGCAGUUCCUCAGAGACCCUCAAGAAAGCCUGCCUCCUGAGGGUUCUAAUAAUAGUGGUGGGGUCGUAGUUGUGGCUAUGCCUCAAAUAGCAGCCACCUCUCAGCCACAGUCACAGGUUUCCAUGUUUCCCCAGGAAGGAGUUGCCCAGCUGGAGAGGGCAGUCAGGGAGCUACAAGCUGGAAGUAGCACCACACUACAGCAGGUGUUGGAAGCAGCUGUAGCGCAGCAACAGCAGCAGCAACUGAACUCUGUCCUAUACAGCCCCACACCCUCUGCAGAUUCCCUUCAGCAGCACGUCCAGGAGAACAUGAACAGCCUUCGACUGGGAACCACAGAAAAUUCACUUUCUACACAACAACAGCUGCAAAUACAACAACAGCAGCAAAUUCAACAACAGCAGCAAAUUCAACAGCAGCAACAACAACAAAUUCAGCAGCAGUUUCAACAGCAUCAACAACUGCAGCAACAGCAGCAAAUUCUAGGUAACCUUCAGCAUCAACAGCAGCAGCAAGUCCUCGGCAACAUGCAGAUCCAACAGCAAAUUAUCUUACAGCCACAGGACCAGCAGCAACUACAGCAGCAACAGAUCAUGGAAAACAUUCAACAACAACAGCAGCUUCAACAAAAUCAACAAGUCCUUAACAACAUUCAGCUUCAGGAUCAGCAACAACAAAAUCAAAUACUUAACAAUUUGCAACUACAGCAGCAACAACAGCAACAAAAUCAAGUGUUAAGCAACUUACAACAGCAACAACAGUUGCAAGAGCAGCAGGUCUUAGAGAAUCUACAACAGCAACUUCAGGCUGAGUUACUUCAGCCUCAGAUCCACACCUCCCCCCAAGUACAGCAGCCAGUAUCUCUUCUUCAGCAGGCAGGUGAGCUGCUCACUAUCCAGACCAGCUUCCCCACACAGCCUCCAUCCCACACCUCUCCCCCUCAACAGCUCUUUCAGUCACCCAGACCACUUGCUGAGACACAGGGUACCCAACAGCAGGUCCAGGCUGCCUUGCUUCAGAAUACGCUGACUGUUCUGACCAGUGGCAGUCUCAACACAGAGCAGCAGUCCACAGGGUCUACCCUCUACCUGUCUCCAAAUCCACAGCCCCAACAACAGCAGCAGCAACAGCAGCAGCUGGCAUUCAUCUCUUCCAUGGAGACAUCUACUAGCCAGCCUCAGUCUGUUCCAAUGUUUCAAAACCAACCCCAACCCCAGCUUUCCCAAAUUCAGCAACAGAGCACCCCAAUGGAGCAGCAGCAGUCACCACAGCAAAACCAACAACAGUCAUCACAACUUACAAUCGGCCAGCAGGGUGCCUUGUUCCAAAGUAUCCCAAACCAUUCACAGACUAACUCUGUCCCCCAGAGUCAGCUCACCCAACCCCAGCAGACGGGUCUGCUCCUCUGCACCACAGAUCUUAACCCCCAAGCUAUUCCUCCAACUAUUCUCUUCAGCACCCAGACCCAAGGCCCUUCAUCUAUAGGCAGCAUUGGUGUUGGAAUUCCCCAGCCAGAUCCAACAGAGCCCAUGUCCUUCCAAGAUGAGAGCUCGGGAAGCAACUCAACAACGGCCGAGAACCAACCACAGAACCUGUUCCAAGAACAGCAGCCAAUGCAAGUAGGCCCCAGCAGUAGCAGCGUCCCAAGCAAUCAACCUGUGGAGCUGUUCCUGCCACCAACAUCCCUUUCUAGCCUGCAGAAUACUAUUGGAUCACAAGAGUUGAACAAUCAGGCUUCUGCCCCAGGUCCUACCAUCUUUGUGGUACAGGGAGGUGUGGGCGUGGUUGCCAAUCCUGGCCAGCAGCCCCCAGAGCAGCUUUUCCAGACCACAGUCAGUGGGAAUGUGGCUCAACAAGGACAGCCCAACUUGUUUGUGUUUGGAAUCCAGAACGACUCACCCCAGCUGCUCAGUUCCUCUGGACCCACCUUGCCAGCUCAGAGCCAGCCCCAGAACCCUGGCCACAUGCAGACUCUCUUGGACCAGCCCAUGGCCCAGGCUGCAUCCUCGAUACCAACUACCAUACACAGCAGCUUACAGAACACCCUUCAGGCCCAAAUGCAGUCCAGCUUAGAGAACGCCAUGCAGACCAGCUUACAGAACGCAAUGCAGACAAACACACAAACAGCCCUACCGCCCAGUUUACAGGCAACCAUAGAUACAAGCCUGCCGACUCCAAUGCAGACCAAUUUGCAGACACAGAUACAGACCAGCCUACAGAAUACAUUGCAGGCAUCGAUAUCUGCAUCAUCCAACAUGGAUAAGAUUGAGGACAUACUGGAAAGCCUACAGAAGCAGUGAUAAAUAGUUGAUGACGUGGGCACUUAGGAGAGUGAGAUAUAUGUAGCAGAGAGUUGUACAUCCUAACAUCAGCUAAUAGACUGGAGUGUGGUAUUUUGUGCCAAUGCAGAAGAAAAGAUUUUAAUUAUUUAAGAGUGAAAUGCCCCAUUUACCUAAAACCCAAAUUAUGAGCUCUGUAACCCCUUAAUUUUAUGAAAUAUUUAUCAGUAAUUAUAGCCUUCGUACAUCCAUUGUCCUUGAAUCGAUCAAUUCGCCUUUGUUAUUACCCCUCUUGCAGGAUGAGAGAGGCCUGUAAUAACCGCUUUAUCCAUUAGUCUAAAAAUGCAGUGUUUUGUUGUCAGAGUGUUUUAAUUAUGUGAGCCUACCAGGUUUGGUGUAAAAACUGGAAAGGUAUUUCGAAUGUCAACAGGAGGCAACCGGGUGAAGAGUAAUGGAGAGGAGUCUGUAAGAACAUGCAGAUAAAUCCAAAACAUAAAAAGAAAUAUCCAACUCUGGACUGAAUACCAGAUUGCACAAGUGUCAGAUAUAGGCCGAAUCUCAUUUUAUGAGUGUAUAAAUUCAAAGUUUGCCAUUCAUUUGGAGCAACAGAGAGGUCAUUUUACCCAACAUAAAAUGAUGAUGGAUUAUUGUUGUAAGCAUUCAGUUGAACUGUUUUUUGCAAUUAAGAUAUAUUUCACAAUCAAUUCAACUUUUUGUUGGUAUAUGUCAAAAUUUGACUUUAAUCUACUCUGAGAGUAAAGAUGUUUAAAUUUGGUACAUUAAGAGAAUGUUUUGCCUCUUUAAACAUCGACCCUCUGCAGUGAAACGAGGCAUUUCAAAACAUUGCAAGAGAUUCACUCACAAAUGAGAUUCAACCUAGCGAAUAAUGUGACUUGGCCUUUUGUUUGGGCACCUCCCAGUGUUUUUAUAGUUUAGGCCUCAUCACUGGGUUUGCAGAAACAUUCUUGGUGAAGUUUGAAGAAGCAGUGAGCAAUGUGUGUCUUUAUGUUAUGAAGAAGAUGGUAAAUUUUACCAAUUUAACGUGGAUAGAAAGAAAACUUUCCACUAGUGAAAAUGGAGUGUUGUGUGGUUUUAUAAACAUUUUAUCUCAAGCACUUUAUAACCUCUUUGUGUAACCAGCUAAUCCUUAUAUCCGUCCACAGCUCUCUACUGACCCAGCUGAAUUUGUACUUGGAAACGUCCAUUUAAAAAAACCGAGAAAAAAACAGAAAGCAGUUGUCUUUGUAAAGGUAAAUACAUGUUAAACAAGCAUUUUUACAUUUUCUCAUGUCAGAAUAUUUUUUGAGGUCUAGGACAACUUUGUAUAGAAUGUCUGCUCACUGUUGAAUCCCUCUUUGUAUUCAGUCUCAGUGGUCCAGUCAAGUCUGUCAAAAAACAGCCAUUCCCACAAAAGCUUUGUCAUUUUCAGUGUUGGAGUGGUAAGUAGGAUUUUGUGUUUUUACCCACUGACAGAACACCCAAAAUACUGAUCAUCAGUUUGUGCAUUGAAAUGAAGGGUUAUCAUUUUUGCUAUUUGUACUAUAUACUGUUCAGUCUGUCACUUGACUGUUUUACCUUGUGUUGUGUUAGAUGUUUAAGUUUUCGUCUCAGUGUUGGUACUGUGUGCAGGCUGGCGCCGUGUGAAGUUGGCAUCCAGUACCGUCCCUUGUGUUGUGAACAGGGGCUCACUGGUAAAUGAAAUCUCUGUUACAUAGAGGCCGCCAUUUUGAUUCAAUCUAUGGUGCUAUGUACAGAAGUGAUGGGCACUUCUGAUGUGAUGUUUAUACUUAUAUUAAUAGCACUGACAUUAAUUGUUAGUUUUCAAGCGGAGUUAAGCGUAGAGAGCUGGCUGUUGUUGCGGGGUCAGACUGGAGUGCACCCAGGCAUACCAAAGCUCCUGUUGUGAAUUGUCGUCUUUUUUUGUCUCAUGCUUGUCUUUGCAAAUGCCCUCAUAAUGUUUACUCAUUUGUACUUACUCAUUUAAAUUAUGCAGCUCUUACACGGAUAGCAAUUCAGCACGUCGUUUUCUUUUUAAUUACACAGUUUAAAAAAAAGAGAUUUAUAAUGGUACUUUGUUUUAUGGAUCAUAAUCGCUCAUUAACAUUUCCACUAAUUUGAUACUACAACUUUCCUUUUCUCAUAACAUUACUCUAUUUUUGAUGCAACAUAAUACUGCUGUACUUUCCAUAUCUACAACAGUAGCCAAUCUGGCAUUAUCAAAGGCCAAUUCUUGAGAAUAAUUCAAACUUUAGAAUAGAAUAGCUCACAUAUACAUUUGUUUACAUUUUCAUAGUCCUACUAUUUUGUCCUGCAGCUGAUAGUAAUCCAUUUUAAAGUAACUUAUCUUUUUUAGAAUUUUGUAUCCAUGUAUCGAAAUGUAGAGUAUUUUUGUAAAUGAAACUUUUUGGUUUAUGCUCAUAGCACAGAAUAUCAUUGCUGGUAUGUUUUCCUGAAGUGAAGCGCAGGUUUAUUGUGAAGUGUAAUUAGAAAUGUAAUUAAGCGGACGUCAAGCAAUUAUGAAUUCUUUUUUAAUGAAUUUACCCAUCCUGUAUAACCCAUUGCCUAGAAUUUGUGUGUGCAUUUUUGUUUGUUUUUUUUUUCUUUUUUCCUUUUUUACGUCAUGCAUCUCAAAUGGCACUUUGACUCAUCCAUUAACUGUAGAUCAGGUUCGAGCGCAGUAGUGAUGUUUCCAAGCAUUCCAUUCCUCUUGGUUAGGGGAGUUUAAGAGCACAUGAUGUUGCAGAAGAAGAAGUGCAGAACAGUAAUGCCUCUUAAAGCCAUACCAACACAGAAAGCCAACCUGUGACUUUUGAUGAAUGUAAAUUUUACCUCAUGGUGUGGAAAUAGAGCUUGCUCUACAUCUAACAUCGGACCAAUUACAGUUUUGGAGAAAAUAUAUUUUGAGGCAGAGGGGAUUGGGAGGUGGCACGAACUGUCAUUUGUGUCUCUAUACAUUUGUCUAAUUGUUUUGUCUCUGAUUGUGGUGUAAUUCAUGUUUUCACGUCCAGUCAUUUUAUUUUGAGCAAUCCAGGAUGCUCAGUCUGACUCUUCGAAUAGCCACUUCCACCUGGAAAAAA